rnacentral:lncRNA from 1 species
GUAAGAACAAAAAAAAUAGUAAGACAUUCUUGUUAUGACAACACAUUGAAUCAGAUGUUCAAAGAAUGAAAGAGGUAAUCGGAUUUUUUCCUAGUAUUAUAUAAAUCAACUCUUUUAAGAGUAUAAAGAGUGUCUUUUUCCCCCACCUAUAUUUAUUUUAAACUGUUCCAAUAACGCCCUUUUUGCAAGACUUGAAGUUAACAGUAAACCCUAAGCUCUAUCGACCUAAAAAUGGAUAAUAUUUUUUAAUGCCAAUGAAGUAGAAGUUAGGAUCCUUACUUCAUUGUGCAAUGGUCUACUUAUAGGUGAUUUAUGGGGGAUUUUAGUAAUUUUCUAUGUUCAUAGUCUUUUGAUCCUACGUUAGAAGUCGUGAUUAAGUCCCACUUUAAAAGCUUAUGGACAUUUGUGCUUUUGUGACAUUUGUCCAAAGUUUCAUUGUUUGUACACAAGGAUUUAGUACACUAACAUUAACAUUGAUUUUGUCGGAAUCCCCACAAAGGCUUUCGUCAAUGUUUAAGACCAAUAGCGCUUAAUCUUGUUGCUGAUCAAGUCCUCCAAUCAUGCUUUCGUUCGAGUGUUAAAGUUUGAUGUAUUUCUUUUCUCAAUGGAGUCUCGAUGGUUGAAGCAUUUCUUUGGUUUGAUAGGCCUCUAUACGAGCGAUGCAUACCAGGUAUUCAUCCUAUGACAUGUAAGUAUGCGAUGAGGUUUUUGUCCAGGAUGAUGAGAUGAUGCAUCGUAAUUAUUUCAAUGCAUAGCAAAAGUCAUUUUAUAUUGUAUUUUAAUUUAGUUAAUUUUAUUCUUAACACGGACACAAUUUAUAACACAAUAAUUCCAACUAAAUAUUUUUUUAUUAAUAAAUCGAAAAAUCAACUAUAAAAAUAUUUCUGUAUGCGAUUGCGACCACCAUCCAUUUACCUCACAUGGCAUAAAUUUU